GGGCCCGCACAAGCGGCGGAGCAUGCGGAUUAAUUCGAUGCAACGCGAAGAACCUUACCAAGGCUUGACAUAUACCGAAAACUCAUGGAGACAUGGGGUCCGCAAGGGCGGUAUACAGGUGGUGCAUGGUUGUCGUCAGCUCGUGUCGUGAGAUGUUGGGUUAAGUCCCGCAACGAGCGCAACCCUCGUCCUAUGUUGCCAGCACAUCAUGGUGGGGACUCAUAGGAGACUGCCGGGGUCAACUCGGAGGAAGGUGGGGAUGACGUCAAAUCAUCAUGCCCCUUAUGUCUUGGGCUUCACGCAUGCUACAAUGGCCGGUACAAAGGGCUGCGAUACCGCAAGGUGGAGCGAAUCCCAAAAAGCCGGUCUCAGUUCGGAUUGGGGUCUGCAACUCGACCCCAUGAAGUCGGAGUCGCUAGUAAUCGCAGAUCAGCAACGCUGCGGUGAAUACGUUCCCGGGCCUUGUACACACCGCCCGUCAAGUCACGAAAGUCGGUAACACCCGAAGCCGGUGGCCCAACUCGCAAGAGGGGGAGCCGUCGAAGGUGGGACUGGCGAUUGGGACU
rnacentral:rRNA from 1 species